UCGUUGUGCUACUCGUGGUUACAGUCAUGUAGUCUUUUAAAGAGGAGCCCUCAAGAGACCAGUUAGAUCAUCCAAGUAGCUUCGCAUCUCCAUCCGAAGCUAGAGAAGCACUUCGUUCCGGAGACAAAGAAGACAAGAUAGACUAAUAGGUCCACUUUGGUAAACAUCAAUCCCGAUCUGACCGAGAUAAGUUGCUUGAGAAAUCUUUGAAAAC
rnacentral:lncRNA from 1 species